rnacentral:rRNA from 1 species
AACGAACGCUGGCGGCAGGCCUAAUACACGCAAGUCGAGCGCAUCCUUCGGGAUGAGCGGCGCACGGGUGCGUGACACGUGGGAAUGUGCCUCUAGGUACGGAACAACCAAGGGAAACUUUGGCUAAUACCGUAUAAUAUCGAGAGAUCAAAGAUUUAUCGCCUAGAGAUCAGCCCGCGUCUGAUUAGAUAGUUGGUGGGGUAAUGGCCUACCAAGUCGACGAUCAGUAGCUGGUCUGAGAGGAUGAUCAGCCACACUGGAACUGAGACACGGUCCAGACUCCUACGGGAGGCAGCAGUAAGGAAUAUUGGACAAUGGGCGAAAGCCUGAUCCAGCCAUGCCGCGUGAGUGACGAAGGCCUUAGGGUUGUAAAGCUCUUUCGUCUGUGAGGAUAAUGACCGUAGCAGAAGAGGAAGCCCCGGCUAAAUUCGUGCCAGCCGCCGCAGUAA